rnacentral:tRNA from 1 species
GCGCCCGUAGCUCAGUUGGAUUAGAGUAUCGGUCUCCGAAGCCGAGGGUCGUGGGUUCGAUUCCCGCCGGGCGCACCA